rnacentral:lncRNA from 1 species
AAUAAAAGCUUAAAAUCGACUGUUUGUGCGUUUGUUUUUGUUGUAGAUGAUGUGGUUUCUUACCGUCUGCGGGGAGGGAAAAGGAAGAAGAAGCAGAAUCCGGCCAACCCAUCUUUUCCGGCGUUCUCGCGGCGGCGCGUGAACCCACGCGCCGCCGCUGUCCAGCACUGUUCACGCGCCUAGCAGCCUCCCUCAGCACUGUUCAGCGGACCAGAAUGCUUUUUAGAUUUGUGCUUCUUGAAUUGUAGGGAUUAUUUUGUAAUUUUGAGUUGUUGAUGUAAUUUUUUUUUAGUAUUGAAUUUUUAUUUGUAUUUUGUAAAUAUGGAUGUAAAAGAAAAGAAAAGAAAAGAAA